GAGUUUGAUCCUGGCUCAGAGCGAACGUUUGCGGCGGGCUUAACACAUGCAAGUCGAACGGGCUGUUNCUUCGGGGGCAGUCAGUGGCGCACGGGUGCGUAACACGUGGGUAAUCAACCUUUUGGUUGGGGAUAACGCUUCGAAAGGGGCGCUAAUACCGAAUAAGGCGUUGUUCUCUUUGGAGGGCGACGAGAAAGGCCCGCAAGGGUCGCCAGGAGACGAGCCCGCGGCCCAUCAGCUAGUUGGUGAGGUAACGGCUCACCAAGGCGAAGACGGGUAGCUGGUCUGAGAGGAUGAUCAGUCACACUGGAACUGAGACACGGUCCAGACUCCUACGGGAGGCAGC
rnacentral:rRNA from 1 species